GAUGAACGCUGGCGGCGUGCCUAAUACAUGCAAGUCGAACGAACAGACGAUGCUCUUGCUCCUCUCUCGUUAGCGGCGGACGUGUGAGUAACACGUGUAUACCCUCCCUAUAAUACCGGGAUAACCUCGGGAAUCCGGCGCUUAUACCGGAUAAUCUAUUGAUCCGCAUUGUUCAAUAGUGAAAUACGGUUUUGCUGUCCCUUCUCGCUGCUUCCCCGCCGCAUUAGCUAGUUGGUAAGGUAACGGCUUACCAAGGCAACGCUGCGUAGCCGACCUGAGAGGGUGAUCGGCCACACUGGAACGGAGACACGGUCCAGACUCCUACGGGAGGCAGCAGUAGGGAAUCGUGCGCAAUGGGCGAAAGACUGACGGAGCAACGCCGCGUGAGUGAUGAAGGUCUUCGGAUCGUAAAACUCUGUUAUGAGGGAAGAACACAUGUGUAAGUAACUAUGCACGGCUUGAAGGUACAUAAUCAGAAAGCCACGGCUAACUACGUG
rnacentral:rRNA from 1 species